UACGUAAGGGGCAAGCGUUGUCCGGAUUUAUUGGGCGUAAAGCGCGUGUAGGUGGCCAAGUAGGUCCGCUGUGAAAACUUGAGGCUCAACCUCAAGCUGUCGGUGGAAACCCCUUGGCUAGAGUCCGGAAGAGGAGAGUGGAAUUCCUGGUGUAGCGGUGAAAUGCGCAGAUAUCAGGAAGAACACCAAUGGCGAAGGCAGCUCUCUGGGACGGUACUGACACUGAGACGCGAAAGCGUGGGGAGCGAACAGG
rnacentral:rRNA from 1 species